ensembl:miRNA
UAUUAGGUUUGUGCAAAAGUAAUUGCGGUUCUUGCCCUUACUUUUAAUGGCAAAAGCCGCUAUAAUUUUUGCACCAACCUA